GACGAACGCUGGCGGCGUGCUUAACACAUGCAAGUCGAACGAUGAAGCGGUGCUUGCACCGUGGAUUAGUGGCGAACGGGUGAGUAAUGCGUGAGUGACCUGCCCCCUUCUUCGGGAUAAGCCUUGGAAACGGGGUCUAAUACUGGAUAUUCCCUUCCUUCUGCAUGGUUGGUGGGGGAAAGUUUUUUCGGUGGGGGAUGGGCUCGCGUCCUAUCAGCUUGUUGGUGGGGUAAUGGCCUACCAAGGCGGCGAUGGUUAGCUGAUCUGAGAGGAUGAUCAGCCACACUGGAACUGAGACACGGUCCAGACUCCUACGGGAGGCAGCAGUGAGGAAUCUUGCGCAAUGGGGGAAACCCUGACGCAGCAACGCCGCGUGAGUGAGGAAGGCCUCGGUCGUAAGCUCUGUCGGUGGAAGAACGACAUGGUGCUAAUACCAUCUAUGCUUGACGGUACCGCCAAAGGAAGCACCGGCUAACUCCGUGCCAGCAGCCGAC
rnacentral:rRNA from 1 species